CAUCAGAUCCUUUUGAGAUUAGUUUAGGCCAAAAUUUUGUAUAAUGUCUUCUAAAUAAACAUGGUACUUCAUCUGAAUCUUUCCCUAAUUCAAUGGUCCAUUUGUAGAUCCAAGGAACAGAAAAUUCUAUAAAAAAAUUCAUAAUCGGAGUCUUUGGGUAUAAUCUGUCCUCUUUGUCCAAAUCCAUAAUCCUUGGCGAAAUCUCUACUCAUUGAUGAUAUAACUCUUUAAACUGUACUGGUAGUAUUCCUUGGGAAGGCCCGAAAAAGGACCACCAUUUAAUGAACCAACUUGGAAUCUGGGUANNNN
rnacentral:lncRNA from 1 species